rnacentral:rRNA from 1 species
AGUGGCGGACGGGUGAGUAACGCGUGGGUAACCUGCCUCACACUGGGGGAUAACAGUCAGAAAUGACUGCUAAUACCGCAUAAGCGCACGGGAUUGCAUGAUCCAGUGUGAAAAACUCCGGUGGUGUGAGAUGGACCCGCGUUGGAUUAGCCAGUUGGCAGGGUAACGGCCUACCAAAGCGACGAUCCAUAGCCGGCCUGAGAGGGUGGACGGCCACAUUGGGACUGAGACACGGCCCAGACUCCUACGGGAGGCAGCAGUGGGGAAUAUUGCACAAUGGGGGAAACCCUGAUGCAGCGACGCCGCGUGGAGGAAGAAGGUCUUCGGAUUGUAAACUCCUGUUGUUGAGGAAGAUAAUGACGGUACUCAACAAGGAAGUGACGGCUAACUACGUGCCAGCAGCCGCGGUAAAACGUAGGUCACAAGCGUUGUCCGGAAUUACUGGGUGUAAAGGGAGCGCAGGCGGGAAGACAAGUUGGAAGUGAAAUCCAUGGGCUCAACCCAUGAACUGCUUUCAAAACUGUUUUUCUUGAGUAGUGCAGAGGUAGGCGGAAUUCCCGGUGUAGCGGUGGAAUGCGUAGAUAUCGGGAGGAACACCAGUGGCGAAGGCGGCCUACUGGGCACCAACUGACGCUGAGGCUCGAAAGUGUGGGUAGCAAACAGGAUUAGAUACCCUGGUAGUCCACACUGUAAACGAUGAUUACUAGGUGUUGGAGGAUUGACCCCUUCAGUGCCGCAGUUAACACAAUAAGUAAUCCACCUGGGGAGUACGACCGCAAGGUUGAAACUCAAAGGAAUUGACGGGGGCCCGCACAAGCAGUGGAGUAUGUGGUUUAAUUCGACGCAACGCGAAGAACCUUACCAAGUCUUGACAUCCUGCGACGGUGCUGGAAACAGUACUUUCCUUCGGGACGCAGAGACAGGUGGUGCAUGGUUGUCGUCAGCUCGUGUCGUGAGAUGUUGGGUUAAGUCCCGCAACGAGCGCAACCCUUAUGGUCAGUUACUACGCAAGAGGACUCUGGCCAGACUGCCGUCGACAAAACGGAGGAAGGUGGGGAUGACGUCAAAUCAUCAUGCCCUUUAUGACUUGGGCUACACACGUACUACAAUGGCGUUAAACAAAGAGAAGCAAGACCGCGAGGUGGAGCAAAACUCAGAAACAACGUCCCAGUUCGGACUGCAGGCUGCAACUCGCCUGCACGAAGUCGGAAUUGCUAGUAAUCGUGGAUCAGCAUGCCACGGUGAAUACGUUCCCGGGCCUUGCACUCACCGCCCGUCA